AUUGAACGCUGGCGGCAGGCCUAACACAUGCAAGUCGAGCGGAUGAGAGGAGCUUGCUUCUCGAUUCAGCGGCGGACGGGUGAGUAAUGCCUAGGAAUCUGCCUGGUAGUGGGGAACAACGUUUCGAAAGGAACGCUAAUACCGCAUACGUCCUACGGGAGAAAGCAGGGGACCUUCGGGCCUUGCGCUAUCAGAUGAGCCUAGGUCGGAUUAGCUAGUUGGUGAGGUAAUGGCUCACCAAGGCGACGAUCCGUAACUGGUCUGAGAGGAUGAUCAGUCACACUGGAACUGAGACACGGUCCAGACUCCUACGGGAGGCAGCAGUGGGGAAUAUUGGACAAUGGGCGAAAGCCUGAUCCAGCCAUGCCGCGUGUGUGAAGAAGGUCUUCGGAUUGUAAAGCACUUUAAGUUGGGAGGAAGGGUUGUAGAUUAAUACUCUGCAAUUUUGACGUUACCGACAGAAUAAGCACCGGCUAACUCUGUGCCAGCCGCCGCAGUAACAC
rnacentral:rRNA from 1 species